rnacentral:rRNA from 1 species
CCUACGGGAGGCAGCAGUGGGGGAUAUUGCACAAUGGGGGGAACCCUGAUGCAGCGACGCCGCGUGGGUGAAGAAGCGCCUCGGCGCGUAAAGCCCUGUCAGCAGGGAAGAAAAUGACGGUACCUGAAGAAGAAGCCCCGGCUAACUACGUGCCAGCAGCCGCGGCAAUACGUAGGGGGCAAGCGUUAUCCGGAUUUACUGGGUGUAAAGGGGGCGCAGACGGCGAUGCAAGCCAGGAGUGAAAGCCCGGGGCCCAACCCCGGGACUGCUCUUGGAACUGCGUGGCUGGAGUGCAGGAGGGGCAGGCGGAAUUCCUGGUGUAGCGGUGAAAUGUGUAGAUAUUAGGAGGAACACCGGCGGCGAAGGCGGCCUGCUGGACCGUAACUGACGUUGAGGCUCGAAAGCGUGGGGAGCAAACAGGAUUAGAUACCCCGGUAGUC